UACAGGGGUCCCAAGCGUUGUUCGGAUUCAUUGGGCGUAAAGGGUGCGUAGGUGGCGUGGUAAGUCGGGUGUGAAAUUUCGGAGCUUAACUCCGAAACUGCAUUCGAUACUGCCGUGCUUGAGGACUGGAGAGGAGACUGGAAUUUACGGUGUAGCAGUGAAAUGCGUAGAGAUCGUAAGGAAGACCAGUGGCGAAGGCGGGUCUCUGGACAGUUCCUGACACUGAGGCACGAAGGCCAGGGGAGCAAACGGG
rnacentral:rRNA from 1 species